rnacentral:rRNA from 1 species
AACGAACGCUGGCGGCAUGCCUAACACAUGCAAGUCGAACGCCUGUAGCAAUACAGGAGUGGCGCACGGGUGAGUAACGCGUGGGAACCUGCCUAGUGGUAAGGAAUAACCGCGGGAAACUGCGGCUAAUACCUUAUGAGCCCUACGGGGGAAAGAUUUAUCGCCAUUAGAGGGGCCCGCGUCCGAUUAGCUAGUUGGUGAGGUAACGGCUCACCAAGGCGACGAUCGGUAGCUGGUCUGAGAGGAUGAUCAGCCACACUGGGACUGAGACACGGCCCAGACUCCUACGGGAGGCAGCAGUGGGGAGUAUUGGACAAUGGGGGCAACCCUGAUCCAGCAAUGCCGCGUGAGUGAUGAAGGCCUUAGGGUUGUAAAGCUCUUUCGACGGGGAAGAUGAUGACGGUACCCGUAGAAGAAGCCCCGGCUAACUUCGUGCCAGCCGCCGCCGUAAAAC